rnacentral:rRNA from 1 species
CCUACGGGAGGCAGCAGUGGGGAAUAUUGGGCAAUGGGCGCAAGCCUGACCCAGCAACGUCGCGUGAAGGAAGAAUGCUCUCUGGUUGGUAACCUUCUUUCUCAGGGACGAAGAGAGUGACGGUACCUGAGGAAUAAGCCACGGCUAACUACGUGCCAGCAGCCGCGGUAAUACGGAGGUCGCAAGCGUUACCCGGAUUUAUUGGGUGUAAAGGGCGUGUAGGGGGGAGCGCAAGUCAGAUGUGAAAACUGAGGGCUCAACCCUGAGACUGCAGUUGAAACUGUGUGUCUUGAGUGCGGGAGAGGUAAGCGGAAUUCGGGGUGUAGCGGUGAAAUGCGUAGAUAUACGGAAGAACACCGGUUGCGAAGGCAGAUUGCUGGACAGUAACUGACGCUGAGGCGCGAAAGCGUGGGGAGCAAACAGGAUUAGAUACCCUAGUAGUC